GAGUAUUGAAAAGGAAAGAGGGGGAAAAUUUCUUGAUCAUCUUGGGAAGCUCUUGCAUGUUAAUGUUUUGCUAACCAUUUGAGGAGUACCCAGUUAGAGGCAAUUAAUCAUCUCAUCACCAUCUUCUUCUUCUCCAUCUUGCUGGAUAGUUAGGUUCUAUUCAAGGUAGGGUUCAUUUAUAGAUGAGAUAACUUUUUAGAGUGAAUUGCA
rnacentral:lncRNA from 1 species